rnacentral:misc_RNA from 1 species
AACUUUCGGCAACGGAUCACUUGGCUUUCGCAUCGAUGAAGAACGCAGCGAAAUGUGAUAAGUAAUGUAAAUUGCAGAAUUCAGUGAAUCAUCGAAUCUUUGAACGCACCUUGCGCUCUCUGGUAUUCCGGAGAGCAUGCCUGUUUGAGUGUCAUGAACUCUUCAACCCACCGGUUCCUUGUUGGACCGAGUUGGUGUUUGGAUUUUGAGUGCUGCUUUUGAUUAAGCUCUCUCGUAAUACAUUAGCAUCUCAAUUUCGUAAUCGGAUUGACUCAGCGUAAUAGACUAUUCGCUGAGGACACUUUUUACUAAGUGGCCGAGAAUGAAAAAGUUAGAAGCUUCCAACCCUUCUAGUCAUUUUUAGAUUAGACCUCAGAUCAGGCAGGAUUACCCGCUGAACUUAAGCAUAUCAAUAAGCGGAGGCU